rnacentral:rRNA from 1 species
AACCUCCGCAAUGUGAGAAAUCGCGACGGGGGGAUCCCAAGUGCCAUUCUUAACGGGAUGGCUUUUCAUUAGUGUAAAGAGCUUUUGGAAUAAGAGCUGGGCAAGACCGGUGCCAGCCGCCGCGGUAACACCGGCAGCUCUAGUGGUAACAAUUUUUAUUGGGCCUAAAGCGUCCGUAGCCGGUUUAAUAAGUCUCUGGUGAAAUCCUGUAGCUUAACUGUGGGAAUUGCUGGAGAUACUAUUAGACUUGAGACCGGGAGAGGUUAGAGAUACUCCCAGGGUAGAGGUGAAAUUCUGUAAUCCUGGGAGGACCGCCUGUUGCGAAGGCGUCUAACUGGAACGGUUCUGACGGUGAGGGACGAAAGUUAGGGGCGCGAACCGGAUUAGGUACCCGGGUAGUCCUAACUGUAAACGAUGCGGACUUGGUGUUGGGGUGGCUUUGAGCUGCUCCAGUGCCGAAGGGAAGCUGUUAAGUCCGCCGCCUGGGAAGUACGGUCGCAAGACUGAAACUUAAAGGAAUU